rnacentral:rRNA from 1 species
GACAGAGGGUGCAAACGUUGUUCGGAAUUACUGGGCGUAAAGCGUGUGUAGGCGGUCUCGUAAGUCGGGUGUGAAAGCCCCGGGCUCAACCCGGGAAGUGCACUCGAAACUGCGAGGCUAGAGUACUGGAGAGGUUGGUGGAAUUCUCGGUGUAGAGGUGAAAUUCGUAGAUAUCGAGAGGAACACCGGCGGCGAAGGCGGCCAACUGGACAGAUACUGACGCUGAGGCGCGAAAGCUAGGGGAGCAAACGGG